AUUGAACGCUGGCGGCAGGCCUAACACAUGCAAGUCGAGCGGAUGAAGGGAGCUUGCUCCUGGAUUCAGCGGCGGACGGGUGAGUAAUGCCCAGGAAUCUGCCUGGUAGUGGGGGAUAACGUCCGGAAACGGGCGCUAAUACCGCAUACGUCCUGAUGGAGAAAGUGGGGGAUCUUCGGACCUCACGCUAUCAGAUGAGCCUAGGUCGGAUUAGCUAGUUGGUGGGGUAAAGGCCUACCAAGGCGACGAUCCGUAACUGGUCUGAGAGGAUGAUCAGUCACACUGGAACUGGGACACGGUCCAGACUCCUACGGGAGGCAGCAGUGGGGAAUAUUGGACAAUGGGCGAAAGCCUGAUCCAGCCAUGCCGCGUGUGUGAAGAAGGUCUUCGGAUUGUAAAGCACUUUAAGUUGGGAGGAAGGGCAGUAAGUUAAUACCUUGCUGUUUUGACGUUACCAACAGAAUAAGCACCGGCUAACUUCGUG
rnacentral:rRNA from 1 species